CUAAACCGUGUUGUGCCGUGCCGUGCAGAGCAGAGCUGGUGGAACUACGCCAUUAGAUACACAUUUGUAUCCACACUCCAUACCAAAUGGUGGCGGUAAUGCACCAAAUAGUUGUUUGUUAAAAGCCAUAAAACCUCAAAAAAAGAAGACCCGUUCAGAUGCGAGGCGGGAAACGGCAUACGCCACAGGGCGCGAACACUACAGACGGAGAUAGUGCAGAGACACGUAUUAUCAACAAUGAAAACACAUGAAGCUCACUGCAGAGGCACAAGGUAAUCAUGAACAACAACGAGGGUAGCUGCAAGAGGAAGGAUGUUGUGCUGUGGAGUUUUUAAAUCUCCUGUCCUCCCUCCCAGGACACUCGUCAUUGACCAGGAGGCUAACCUUCUAUUCUCAAGGAUCAAACAUUGUUGCACAAAAAUGAAACGUCUUGACCUUCCAAAACACAAUCCUGCUGUGUAUAUUGGUGUUUUGGAGAUCCACUCUGAGGGGUGACAAUGAUGAGUUGCACUAUUAGUCAGGUUGCUGAUUGCAGUGGCACAGCGGACCUGUCCUGACAACCUGUGUUGACACCCACUGUGCACAGGGGCCAUCUGAGUCACCCACCCCACAUGACAGAAAAGAAUGGGCCACUGUUAAAUGGUUUUUCAUCAUUUACUGACCUACCAUUCUGUUCUUUCUUUUCCCAGUCUGAAGAUGAGAUUUACAGAAGAGUUAGCUGGGGUUGUUUAAGCCUCUGUCAACAUGAUGAACAAAAUGGAUUCUGCCUGCAACCAUUUUCCCUUUCAUAAUGGAUGUCCACCAACUCCAACCUAAGAGCUGCAGCCAGUUGCUGUGGUCACCAAUGACCUAGUUAAGACAGCUUUGAUCAGUGGCCCACUUGAUGUCUCUUGUUCCACUUUGAAACUACAGACAGCCACAUGACCAGAGCCACAGCUGAAGCUCAGCCUGGACCAUCACCUUCUGCAUGUGUCUCCUGUCAUUGUUCCUUGAGCUGCUGCAGUACGAGCAGUAGUAACCCUUUCUGAUGCAGAAAAAACCUUAUUCCUCAAUGUAUUUGCACUAAAGGACUUUCUACAAAUCUUAGUAAGAAAAGUAUUCUAAUCAUAAGAAGCCGUUGGCAAGGGGUAGAUAUUAAUUUUGAAAACUCAAAUUGUUUUGUUCAUUUUAUUGUGAUUGGUCUGGAGUGAAAGUGCACUUUUUUCUUUUUCAGGGAUUAAGUUGUAUUUAAUUUACAUAAACCAAGAGUCUAAGCCUGUGUAUAGAAACAAUUCCUACUGAUUUGGGCUAUAUAAAUAAAAAUAAUAACAAUACA